rnacentral:misc_RNA from 1 species
UUGAAAAAUUUAUAAAAUGAGAUACUUGAAAAAUUUAUAAAAUGAAAUAGUAACAGAUAAGUAGUUGAAUUGCAAUAUCAAAGUGGUUAAUCAUAUAUAUAAACCUAAAUUAAAAUGAAUUAAUAUAUAAUUUAAUUAAUACACUCUCCAAAUUUAGCAGGGAGAAAACAAGAAUGUGAGCAGCAACGAGGGCUGAAAAAAUCGUACCUGUUAGGUGACGGCAUUUCUUUUGCAACACUUUGGGGCCCGUGCAAGCUGCUGAAUCAUAAUCGAGACAAUGCGCCUGCCUUUUGAAG